rnacentral:siRNA from 1 species
UCAAAUAACACACAUGUGGGUACA